AUCAACGCUGGCGGCGUGCCUACACAUGCAAGUCGAACGAGAAAGUGGUAGCAAUACCAUGAGUAAAGUGGCGCACGGGUGAGUAACACGUGACUAACCUACCUUGGAGUUCGGAAUAACCUCGGGAAACCGGGGCUAAUACCGGAUAACACCUACGGGUCAAAGGAGGCAAUUCGCCCUGAGAGGGGGGGGUCGCGGCUGAUUAGCUAGUUGGCAGGGUAAUGGCCUACCAAGGCGACGAUCAGUAUCCGGCCUGAGAGGGCGCACGGACACACUGGAACUGAAACACGGUCCAGACUCCUACGGGAGGCAGCAGUGGGGAAUUUUGCACAAUGGGGGAAAACCCUGAUGCAGCAACGCCGCGUGGAGAUGAAGGUCUUUGGAUUGUAACUCCUUUCGACCGGGACGAUUAUGACGGUACCGGGAGAAAGAAGCACCGGCUAACUCUGUGCCAGCAGCCGCGGUAAUACAGAGGGUGCAAGCGUUGUUCGGAAUUAUUGGGCGUAAAGGGCGCGUAGGCGGUGCGGUAAGUCUGCGGUGAAAUCUCCCGGCCUCAACUGGGAGUUUGCCGUGGAAACUGCCGUGCUUGAGUGUGGGAGAGGUGAGUGGAAUUCCCGGUUUGUAGCGGUGAAAUGCGUAGAUAUCGGGAGGAACACCUGUGGCGAAAAGCGGCCUCACUGGACCACAACUGACGCUGAGGCGCGAAAGCUAGGGGAGCAAACAGGAUUAGAUACCCUGGUAGUCCUAGCCCUAAACGAUGAUUGCUUGGUGUAACAGGUACCCAAUCCUGUUGUGCCGAAGCUAACGCGAUAAGCAAUCCGCCUGGGGAGUACGGGUCGCCAAGGCUGAAAACUCAAAGGAAUUGACGGGGGCCCGCACAAGCGGUGGAGCAUGUGGUUCAAUUCGACGCAACGCGAAGGAACCUUACCUGGGCUCGAAGCGCAGUGGACUGAGGUAGAAAUAUCUCUUUCUCGCAAGAGACUGCUGCGUAGGUGCUGCAUGGCUGUCGUCAGCUCGUGUCGUGAGAUGUUGGGUUAAGUCUCGCAACGAGCGCAACCCUUAUUGCCAGUUGCCAUCAUUUAGUUGGGCACUCUGGCGAAACUGCCCCGGAUAACGGGGAGGAAGGUGGGGAUGACGUCAAGUCCUCAUGCCUUUAUGUCCAGGGCUACACACGUGCUACAAUGGUCGGUACAAACCGUCGCAAACCCGUGAGGGGGAGCUAAUCGGAAAAAGCCGACCUCAGUUCGGAUUGUAGUCUGCAACUCGACUACAUGAAGCUGGAAUCGCUAGUAAUCGCAGAUCAGAACGCUGCGGUGAAUACGGUUCCCGGGCCUUGUACCACACCGCCCCGUCACAUCACGAAAGUGGGGCUGUACUAGAAGUCGGUGGGCUAACCCGCAAGGGAAGCAGCCGCCCAAGGUAUAACUCAUGAUUGGGGUG
rnacentral:rRNA from 1 species